AUGUCCGCGGAGCAGAUUUACUAACUUCCAAUCCCUCGAAGCCUAGAUGAUAUAGAGAUAUUUAGAGCUCUGCAUCCCUUCUUGCUUUUGGUUAUUAUGGCUCCUCUGCAUGGCGGCUUCGGCAUAGAUUUGAUGGUUUACUCUGUUGGUAAGGGGAUUCCUUAGUCUUGUUUUGAGAUACCCAAGAGAAAGUCGGUGCAGCCUCUAGUCCGAUGAUAUAUUUGCUUUUUAGUGAUUCAAGGCUUCCCUUUGGAUUUCUUUGAUUAAUAAUUAGUUUUUCUCCUCACCCAUCGAUGUGCCUUUAGUCAAACUCCCCUGGUAUCAUCUCAGUGUUUGCAUAUGGUAGUGAUAUGAGUUUCGUAUUUUCCUUAGGCGACAACUCUUUCUUGUUGGAUAACUUUCAUCCGGAAAACUCGGUAUUAUGGGUCGGGUCCUAGCUAGUGUUUGUAUAUAGGGUGGAUUCCAUGACUCAUGAGUUUAGGGGUGAGCAUUCGAUCGGUUCGGUUUAAAAUCGAAUCGAACUGAAUAAAUCGAAAAUCGAAAUUUUAGUGUUUAUAAAAAUCGAACCGAAUCGAUUUUGGUCAGAAAUCGGAUCGAACCGAACCGGUCUGAUUCGGUUCGAUUCGGUUCGAUUUAAUCGGUUUCAUUUUUAAUAAUUUUUUUAUUUUUUAUACUUUAUUUUUAAUAUUUUAAAUUUUAAUUAAAAUAUUUUAAUUUUAAUAUGAUUUAAUUUCUUUAUAUUAUUGAAAAAAUAUAUUAUUAUCACUAAUCGGUUCGGUUCGGUUUUUUCGAUUUUUUUCUGAUCAAAAUCGAACCGAGCCGAAAUAACCGAAAUUUCUGAAAUUAAAAAUCGAACCGAACCGAAAUGUAUAAAAAACCGAACCAAAUUUUUAAAUUAAUUCGAUUCGAUUAAUUUUUUUGAUUUGAACCGAAUACUGCUCACCCCUACUCAUGACCUAAUGAUUUCCCUUUUCAAUAAUUAUGGUUAAAAAAGAGAAUAAAGUAAAUUUAAUUGAUUAAACAUUAGAAAAUGCUAAGCUGUUGUAAUUGUUUUCUGCUUUUUUGAACUUAACUAAACACUAAAACCAAACAAGUCAUAGCUUCCUUCUCACACUCAUUUGCAAAGUAAUCAGUAAGCAAAAAGUAUUAAUGAUUUUGAUUAAGAAAUAAUCAUCAGCUGAAAAGGGUUUCCGGUACAUGAAGAGAUUUCUUUUACGAUAUUUGCUUCCUAAAUUUUCUGCUUUUAGAACUUUAUACAAGGCUGUCUAUAUAAUCUAAUCAUUGACUUUUAGUUAGUUGACAUUAACCGUUUAAUUUUUGAGCUUAUGAAAUAUAAUUAUUAAAUUUUUGAAUUUUAUAUAAUUAUUUACUUAUAAAACGUAGAGAAUGCAAGAUAAUCAUAGUUUAGUUGCUAUAUUGUUUUGUUUUAUUCCUUGCUGUCUCAUGGGCAUAAUUGUCUUUUUAUAGUCUGAGUACAGGUUACGCUCCACGUGAGGAGUAUAUAUGCUCCUCUAAAGCUAGGUUCCAUAUCUCUCUUACUCUUGUAAAAUUCAUUACAUCUUGAAUAAAAGGAAAAAGGCAUGCUUCUCCUUUUCUCUCUUCAUGGUAUCAGAGCGGGUUAGGGUUUGCACCUUUCCCUGUCUCUUCCGUUCAUCCUCGGCCACUUCUCUUUUAAAACAACCUUUACCGAAAAGAGCCGGCUUACACGCCAGGUGAACGCCAUCACCGGUCCUACACCAAAUAUGGCUUGCAUGACAAGCAUAUCUCGUUAAUCAUUCCGUUUUCCUUCAAGACGGCCUCAACUCAGUCAGAUCUACAAGCUUACACCACGAUCUGUAGCUAAAACGGACAAAUCUUGUCGAUCAUGGCAGAACGAGGGAAUACCAGUAAAGAAGGCAAAAUCACGGAGGCGAAGGACAAAAUCCAGAUCGGAACUCAGAAUCUUGGAGAUCUUCUGACUCUCCAGUCUUCGGACCAUCCAGGUAUGGUUUUAGUAUCAUUUUAGGUCUUGGUGUAGAGCCAUUAUGAUAGCCCUAGGAGCCAAACAGAAACUCGAAUUUAUAGAAGGCACCGUUACAAUACCUGAUAAAGGAUCUGAUUUCUAUGAACAAUGGAAGCGAUGUGAUUUUAUGGUCACAUCCUGGAUUUUAAAUUCUAUAUCCAGAGAGUUAGUCGAUGGCUUCAUUUACACAGCCUCAGCUAGGGAUCUCUGGCUUGAAAUUACCGAAAGAUUCGGUGAGUGUAAUGGAACCAUGAUCUAUGAGUUGCGAAGGAAAAUAUCCUUGAUAUCUCAAGACAAUGCCUCUGCAUCUGUCUAUUUCACUAAAUUGAAAGGGUUUUGGGAUGAAUUGGGAUCAAUGGAGACCCUUCCUCCUUGCACCUGUGGAGCAUCAAAGGCAAUUGAUGAAAUUAACAAUAGAAAUAGGCUAAUGCAAUUUCUUAUGGGCUUGAGUGAUGCCUACGGAACAAUAAGAGAUCAGAUCCUGGGGAUGGAUCCUCUGCCCUCUGUAAAUAAAGCCUAUUCUAUGGUACUGAAAUUUGAGUCUCAGAAGGAUAUUCUGGGAAACAUUAAUGGGAACACUGAACCUCUAGCCUUGAUGAAUAGGACAUAUAAACAAUAUCAAGGAAAACAAAGGGGACCUGGCCAAAAAAGGGGGCAUUGCUCCUACUGUGACAUGGAUGGACAUGUCAGAGAGGGCUGUUUCAAGUUGAUAGGAUACCCUGAGUGGUUUAAAACAAAAAUUAAGAAUAAUGGACAGCCCUCUAAAGCAAAUAGAACCAUAGGACAUGAACGAAAGGUUGUGGCAGCUGUUGAGGGCACCCCACAUAAAAGGGACACACCUCUUGACAUGCCUAACACAUCUACUCAGAUAAAUGACCUCAAUAUCAUGAUGAACUCCUUACAACAGGAGGUAAGCAAACUGAUGAAAGAAAAGGAUGUGCUCACAGUAAAUACUCAUCAAUUUUAUUACAGCAAUGAAUAUCAUUCAGACUCAGAUCCAGCUAUCUUUGCAGGUACCUCUAACUCUAAGUCUAUGACUUGUGCAUCUAUUCAUAAGCAUUAUAAUUGGAUUCUUGACACUGGUGCCACUGACCACAUGUCUUCGAAUCAAUCAUUCUUUAAUGAGUUAGAGCUAUUAAAUAAGCAAGUUUUAGUCUACUUACCUGAUGGCAAUACUAUGAAAGUUUGCUACACUGGUUCUAUCACACUUUCAGAUUGUAUGCACCUGAAAAAUGUCUUAUUUGUUCCAAAGUUCAAUUAUAAUCUUCUUUCUGUUAGCAAAUUAAUCAAAGAUUGUAAGCUAAGUUAUUUUUUUCUUCCUACUUGUUGUGUUAUUCAGGACCAAAUGACUAAGAAAGUGAUUGCUGUGGGCAAAGAAGAAGCAGGAUUAUACA
rnacentral:lncRNA from 1 species